GUGCUUGUUUCAGUAGCACAUAUGCUAAAAUGGGAAUGAUACAGAGAAGAUUAGCAUGGCCCCUGCCCAAGGAUGAUACACAAAUUUAUGAAACGUUCCAUAUUUUU
rnacentral:snRNA from 1 species